rnacentral:lncRNA from 1 species
CCCGCGCUUCAGGAGUACCUGCCGUCGGCGCGCAGGCCCUCGGAAGGAGGUGACCAGCCCCGGCGCUGGGGGAGUUGCGCUGCGCCGGCGCGAGCCAAGCCCGACGCGGACCGACCCAGGCCCCUGCACCUCAGAACGCCGAGCCCCAGGAGCCCGCGGACGCCGGGACGCCCGGACGAAUACGGGAGGGAUGGUUCCGGAAGCAGGGCAGGACCGGCCUCGCUCCCUCAAGCGUCCCACUAUGCCCACUCAAUGGUCUGCAGACCGGUCCUAGCUCCAGUGCACCUUCGCAGGAGCAACACCCUACCCCAACUCAAGACUUGCGCGGCCCGGACUCCGGGGUCGAGGUUCCCAUGGAAACUAGAAGACGCUCUUUGCGCCUGCGCGGGAGCGCUAGGCACCCUGGGAAAUGUGGUUUCCACGGCCGCCCCGGGGUCGGAGGAAUGGACGCAAGGUGGCGCCCGAGCGUUGCGGUUCUAUUGAGCCUGGCUCCCAGGACUGACCCCGGCCGCGGCCGCCGCGGGACAGGCCUUGAAGUUUGAAGAUGAGGCUCCCCUGGUGCUGGGUGGAGGAGCGGCCGCGUCGGACAUCCGGCCCCAGCUCGGGGCCUGGCAGGGCUGGACUGACGGAGAAGGUUUUGAAGGUGGAGCUGGCCCAGGAUGGACCGGCUGCCCAGGCACCCCAGCUCCUUGUUGCCGCGGGGCUCUUGGGGCUGGGCAUCGGGUAUUACCCCAGCACUGGCCGCCCUAGGGCGGUCCUUGGGCAGAACUGUGAGUCAGUGAGUUGACUGUCCAGACUCCACUCAGAGUUAGGUCCUGGGAUGAGAAUCUAGAAACCUGGAUCUGAUUCAGGCUCCCGUUUUGUGUUUAACUCCUCUAAGUCCGUUUUUUCCUCUGGGAUGGUUGCGUGGUGAUGACAUGGCUGUGUAGGCUGCACGGCUCUCUAAGGACAUAAACAGACUCUGCCAUUCACUGUAAAUUGGUGCAACUUGUUGGAAAGAUAUUAAAUGAUGACUCACAAAAUUUAAAAUGUGCAUAACCUUUGCUUUAGCAAUUCUAGAAAUCCAUACUACAGAUUUAGUGGCUAAGUAUGUGGAAAGAUGUAUAUACAGGAGUGAUUAAUGAGACAUUGCUUGAAAUGGGAUUAAAAAAGUGUUCAUCCAUAAAUAACCGCCUAAAUAAAUGAUGAAUUCCA